CCAUACAUAUAUAUCAUCUGUUUAAAAUAGACUUUAUUUUUUGGAACAGUUUUAGAUUUACAGAAAAAUUGAUAGUACAGAGAGGUCCCAUGUGCUCUGCUCCUAGUUCCCCUUACUAUAAACAUGUUGCUAUGGUGCAUUUGUUAUAAUUAAUGAAUCAGUACUGGUGCAUUGUUAGCAACUAAAGUCCAUACAUUAUUCACAUUCUCUCAGGUUUUUUUUUUUUUUUUUGAGACAGAGUAUCACUCUGUUGCCCAGGCUGGGGUGCAGUGGCACGAUCUCAGCUCACUGCAGGUUCUGCCUCCUGGGUUCAAGUGAUUCUUCUGCCUCAGCCUCCUGAGUAGCUGGGAUUACAGGUGCGCCACCACGCCUGGCUAAUUUUUGUAAUUUUAGUAGAGAUGGGGUUUCACCAUGUUGGCCAGGCAGGUCUCGAACGCCUGACCUCAAGUGAUCUGCCUGCCUCGGCCUCCCAAAGUGCUGGGAUUAUAGGCGUGCGCCACCGCGUCCAGUCACAUUUUCUCAGUUUUUAUGUGAUAUCCUUUUACUGUUUCAGGAUCCUAUCCAGGGUACCACAUUACAUUUACUUGUUGAGUCUCUUUAAGCUAUGGCAGUCUCUCAACUAUGUGCAUCUCAGACUUUCCUUGUUUCUGAUGACCUUGGCAAUAUUGAGGAGUACUGGUCAAGUAUUUUGUAAAAUACCCCUUGACUGGCAUUUGUCUGAUAUUUUUCUCGUGAUGGGGGUUAGGGGUUUAGGGGAGGAAGGCCAUGCACACAGACAACAUGACUUCUCGCCACUGUUGAUGUUGACCUUGAUCAGCUGGGUGAGAUAGUGCUGGUCAUGUUUUUCCACUGUAAAGUUACUCUCCCCACUCCCCUUUCUGUGCUACACUCUUGGAAGGAGGUCACUAUGGGCAGCCACACUUAAGGGAUGGGGAGGUAUUCUUCACCUCUCUGAGGAUGGAGUAUUUACACAAACGACUUAAAAUUCUUCUACAUGGGUGAUUUGUCUCUUCUCCCAGCAACAUACGUAUUUUUAAUUUAUAUUACCUUGAAACAGUUCCUGUAGCUUUCAACAACUAAAAGAAGCCCUUACAAACCAUCCAGUUCAGGAGAUGCAAACUCAAAUGUCUGCAGUGGCCAGG
rnacentral:lncRNA from 1 species